rnacentral:rRNA from 1 species
AUGUCGACCUCCUGGCAUGCCGGCGGCAAUGGUCUCCCCUCCGUUUCCGGCUCCGCUUCCUCCAUCGUCGCCCGCGCCGUGAGCGGCUACCACGUGCUCAAGAUCGACGGCUACUCACGCACCAAGGAGGUCCCCAAUGGCGAGUGGAUCGACUCCUGCCCGUUCCAGGUGGGAGGCCGCACAUGGCAUCUUCGUUACUAUCCCAACGGGAACAAGACAGAAGAUAUCGAUUACAUACCCUUCUUUGUCACACUCGAUGAUACCGUCGCCGAGGGCGAGGCCGUGAAGGCGCAAGCCAACUUCAGCUUGCUCGACCAAGACGGGAAUCCGGUGCUGCCUUAUCGCUGGGGAACUGGUACCAGAAACUUCUCGGUGGAAAAAUCUUGGGGAUUCGACAAGUACAUCAAAAGGGACGAGUUGGAGAAAUCAGAGCUUCUCAAGGACGAUUCCUUCACUGCCAAGGUCGAUGUCACUGUCAUGAGCGAGUUCCCCGCACGGAAGACACCAUCCGUCGUGGUGCCACCGUCCGACAUACACCGGCACCUCGGGGACCUCCUGUCGAGCAAGGCGGGCGUCGAUGUCGAAUUCCGGGUCGGCGGGGAGACAUUCUCGGCGCACCGAUUGGUGCUCGCGGCACGGUCUCCGGUCUUCAGAGCAGAGUUCUUUGGGCCCAUGAAGGAGGGCACAACCACUGAGGCCAUAUGUAUAGAUGACAUUGAGGCAGAGGUGUUCAAGCCUUCAAGGCUCUGCUUGCUUUCAUGUACACGGAUGCAUUGCCUGAUAUGGAUCAACAGGAGGAAUCGGCCAUGGCCCAGCAUUCGGCCGAAAUUUAAGAGAAAUUUUGCAAUCAACGGAGGAAAAGUGUAG